ACUGUUUCUCAGCCUUCUGGCUAAGAUCAUGUGUAGUAUUAUUAGUUUUUCAUCUGAUAUGUCCUUCAUCUAUGAAAUAUAUAUAUAGGGAAGCAGUACUAGGGGCUGAACCCAGAGCAUUUGCCUUGAGGUACAUCCCCAGCCCUUUUUAAAAUUUAUUUUAAGAUGGGCAUGGUGG
ensembl:snRNA U2 U2 spliceosomal RNA